rnacentral:rRNA from 1 species
UAGGGAAUCUUCGGCAAUGGACGAAAGUCUGACCGAGCAACGCCGCGUGAGUGAAGAAGGUUUUCGGAUCGUAAAACUCUGUUGUUAGAGAAGAACAAGGACGUUAGUAACUGAACGUCCCCUGACGGUAUCUAACCAGAAAGCCACGGCUAACUACGUGCCAGCAGCCGCGGUAAUACGUAGGUGGCAAGCGUUGUCCGGAUUUAUUGGGCGUAAAGCGAGCGCAGGCGGUUUCUUAAGUCUGAUGUGAAAGCCCCCGGCUCAACCGGGGAGGGUCAUUGGAAACUGGGAGACUUGAGUGCAGAAGAGGAGAUUGGAAUUCCAUGUGUAGCGGUGAAAUGCGUAAAUAUAUGGAGGAACACCAGUGGCGAAGGCGGCUCUCUGGUCUGUAACUGACGCUGAGGCUCGAAAGCGUGGGGAGCAAACAGG